CCGGCGAUGUCCGAAUGGGGAAACCCAGUGCAAUUCGUUGCACUAUCGUUAACUGAAUACAUAGGUUAACGAGGCGAACCGGGGGAACUGAAACAUCUAAGUACCCCGAGGAAAAGAAAUCAACCGAGAUUCCCCCAGUAGCGGCGAGCGAACGGGGAGCAGCCCAGAGUCUGAAUCAGCUUGUGUGUUAGUGGAACGGUCUGGAAAGUCCGACGGUACAGGGUGAUAGUCCCGUACACCAAAAUGCACAGGCUGUGAACUCGAAGAGUAGGGCGGGACACGUGGUAUCCUGUCUGAAUAUGGGGGGACCAUCCUCCAAGGCUAAAUACUCCUGACUGACCGAUAGUGAACCAGUACCGUGAGGGAAAGGCGAAAAGAACCCCGGCGAGGGGAGUGAAAAAGAACCUGAAACCGUGUACGUACAAGCAGUGGGAGCACCUUCGGGUGUGACUGCGUACCUUUUGUAUAAUGGGUCAGCGACUUAUAUUCUGUAGCAAGGUUAACCGUAUAGGGGAGCCGCAGGGAAACCGAGUCUUAACUGGGCGUUAAGUUGCAGGGUAUAGACCCGAAACCCGGUGAUCUAGCCAUGGGCAGGUUGAAGGUUGGGUAACACUAACUGGAGGACCGAACCGACUAAUGUUGAAAAAUUAGCGGAUGACUUGUGGCUGGGGGUGAAAGGCCAAUCAAACCGGGAGAUAGCUGGUUCUCCCCGAAAGCUAUUUAGGUAGCGCCUCGUGAAUUCAUCUUCGGGGGUAGAGCACUGUUUCGGCUAGGGGGUCAUCCCGACUUACCAACCCGAUGCAAACUACGAAUACCGAAGAAUGUUAUCACGGGAGACACACGGCGGGUGCUAACGUCCGUCGUGAAGAGGGAAACAACCCAGACCGCCAGCUAAGGUCCCAAAGUCAUGGUUAAGUGGGAAACGAUGUGGGAAGGCACAGACAGCCAGGAUGUUGGCUUAGAAGCAGCCAUCAUUUAAAGAAAGCGUAAUAGCUCACUGGUCGAGUCGGCCUGCGCGGAAGAUGUAACGGGGCUAAACCAUGCACCGAAGCUGCGGCAGCGACACUAUGUGUUGUUGGGUAGGGGAGCGUUCUGUAAGCCUGCGAAGGUGUGCUGUGAGGCAUGCUGGAGGUAUCAGAAGUGCGAAUGCUGACAUAAGUAACGAUAAAGCGGGUGAAAAGCCCGCUCGCCGGAAGACCAAGGGUUCCUGUCCAACGUUAAUCGGGGCAGGGUGAGUCGACCCCUAAGGCGAGGCCGAAAGGCGUAGUCGAUGGGAAACAGGUUAAUAUUCCUGUACUUGGUGUUACUGCGAAGGGGGGACGGAGAAGGCUAUGUUAGCCGGGCGACGGUUGUCCCGGUUUAAGCAUGUAGGCUGGUUGUCCAGGCAAAUCCGGAUAAUCAAGGCUGAGGUGUGAUGACGAGGCACUACGGUGCUGAAGUAACAAAUGCCCUGCUUCCAGGAAAAGCCUCUAAGCAUCAGGUAACAUCAAAUCGUACCCCAAACCGACACAGGUGGUCAGGUAGAGAAUACCAAGGCGCUUGAGAGAACUCGGGUGAAGGAACUAGGCAAAAUGGUGCCGUAACUUCGGGAGAAGGCACGCUGGUGUGUAGGUGAAGUCCCUGCGGAUGGAGCUGAGACCAGUCGAAGAUACCAGCUGGCUGCAACUGUUUAUUAAAAACACAGCACUGUGCAAACACGAAAGUGGACGUAUACGGUGUGACGCCUGCCCGGUGCCGGAAGGUUAAUUGAUGGGGUUAUCCGUAAGGAGAAGCUCUUGAUCGAAGCCCCGGUAAACGGCGGCCGUAACUAUAACGGUCCUAAGGUAGCGAAAUUCCUUGUCGGGUAAGUUCCGACCUGCACGAAUGGCGUAAUGAUGGCCAGGCUGUCUCCACCCGAGACUCAGUGAAAUUGAACUCGCUGUGAAGAUGCAGUGUACCCGCGGCAAGACGGAAAGACCCCGUGAACCUUUACUAUAGCUUGACACUGAACAUUGAGCCUUGAUGUGUAGGAUAGGUGGGAGGCUUUGAAGCGUGGACGCCAGUCUGCGUGGAGCCAACCUUGAA
rnacentral:rRNA from 1 species